UACGUAGGGGGCAAGCGUUGUCCGGAAUUAUUGGGCGUAAAGCGCGCGCAGGCGGUUUUUUAAGUCUGGUGUUUAAGCCCGGGGCUCAACCCCGGAUCGCACCGGAAACUGGGAGACUUCGAGUGCAGGAGAGGAAAGCGGAAUUCCACGUGUAGCGGUGAAAUGCGUAGAGAUGUGGAGGAACACCAGUGGCGAAGGCGGCUUUCUGGCCUGUAACUGACGCUGAGGCGCGAAAGCGUGGGGAGCAAACAGG
rnacentral:rRNA from 1 species